rnacentral:rRNA from 1 species
UAAGGAAUAUUGGUCAAUGGACGCAAGUCUGAACCAGCCAUGCCGCGUGCAGGAAGACUGCCCUAUGGGUUGUAAACUGCUUUUAUACGGGAACAAACCCCUUUACGUGUAGAGGGCUGAGUGUACUGUAAGAAUAAGGAUCGGCUAACUCCGUGCCAGCAGCCGCGGUAAUACGGAGGAUCCAAGCGUUAUCCGGAUUUAUUGGGUUUAAAGGGUGCGUAGGCGGCAUGCUAAGUCAGGGGUGAAAUUCGGCAGCUUAACUGUCGGCGUGCCUUUGAUACUGGCGUGCUUGAAUGUACAUGAGGUAGGCGGAAUGAGACAAGUAGCGGUGAAAUGCAUAGAUAUGUCUCAGAACUCCGAUUGCGAAGGCAGCUUACUAAAGUAUGAUUGACGCUGAUGCACGAAAGCGUGGGGAUCAAACAGGAUUAGAUACCC